UGUUUCGGCUAGGGGGCCAUCCCGGCUUACCAACCCGAUGCAAACUGCGAAUACCGGAGAAUGUUAUCACGGGAGACACACGGCGGGUGCUAACGUCCGUCGUGAAGAGGGAAACAACCCAGACCGCCAGCUAAGGUCCCAAAGUCAUGGUUAAGUGGGAAACGAUGUGGGAAGGCCCAGACAGCCAGGAUGUUGGCUUAGAAGCAGCCAUCAUUUAAAGAAAGCGUAAUAGCUCACUGGUCGAGUCGGCCUGCGCGGAAGAUGUAACGGGGCUAAACCAUGCACCGAAGCUGCGGCAGCGACACUCAGGUGUUGUUGGGUAGGGGAGCGUUCUGUAAGCCUGUGAAGGUGUGUCGUGAGGCAUGCUGGAGGUAUCAGAAGUGCGAAUGCUGACAUAAGUAACGAUAAAGCGGGUGAAAAGCCCGCUCGCCGGAAGACCAAGGGUUCCUGUCCAACGUUAAUCGGGGCAGGGUGAGUCGACCCCUAAGGCGAGGCCGAAAGGCGUAGUCGAUGGGAAACGGGUUAAUAUUCCCGUACUUGGUGUUACUGCGAAGGGGGGACGGAGAAGGCUAUGUUGGCCGGGCGACGGUUGUCCCGGUUUAAGCGUGUAGGUGUGUGUUCCAGGUAAAUCCGGUCCACUUUAACACUGAGGCGUGAUGACGAGGCACUACGGUGCUGAAGCAACAAAUGCCCUGCUUCCAGGAAAAGCCUCUAAGCAUCAGGUAACAUCAAAUCGUACCCCAAACCGACACAGGUGGUCAGGUAGAGAAUACCAAGGCGCUUGAGAGAACUCGGGUGAAGGAACUAGGCAAAAUGGUGCCGUAACU
rnacentral:rRNA from 1 species